AGAUGAGUGGGUUUUUGUUUUUUUAAACAUUUUUGCAAAUUUCUUUAAUAUCCAGCUUAACAGAAAACAACCGGAUUUUCAUAUCUGCUUCUGCAUUCAAUUUAUUGUAUAAUACAUGUCAUGCCAACCCUGGAAACUUCACUGUCCUCUGAUAGGAGAACAAAGGCGAAACGGGCAAAUAACAUAUAAUUAUUAGUACAAAAAUUGCUUCGGCUUUGCAAAGCCCCUGAAAGGGUCUUAGGGACAUCCAGGCAUCCUGGGAUCAUACUUUGAGAACGAUGGCACUACACUUUACUGCCUCUGAGUACACAGGGAGAAUGUCUUGGUUGAAUUUUAAGUGUUCCUUAAGAAACAGUGUUUCUUCGAGUAAAUUCCAGCCUGCUGUGGUAGAAGGAGCAGAGGCUGAGUAGCCAGAGACAGGGGUGCAACCCUAGUUCUGUGCGUGGGAGCUCUUGACCUUCACUAAGUUCUCUCCAUCUCAGGUUCCUUAUCUUUAAAAUGAGGCUCAUUACCAAUCCCUUCCAGGGUCAUCACAGGCUUUCCAAAAAUUAUGUGAUAAGGUGCCUAACAGGUGCUGACACAAGAGGAUGUCUGACCAAGUGUAGCUUUUAUUUCAGAUAGACUAACGACGGCCAGGGAGGAAGGAGAGGGACCACGACCAGCAAAAACGGAAGGAGAAAAGAGCUACCAAGGACGGAUCCACAAACUCUCAGCUGGAAGCCUUUCAAGCCAGAGAAACAAGCCCUAAAGUUGCCUGAAGAUAAGUCCUGGCUAUGAAUUAAUGUUGAACAACAUGAAAAGAUUACAGGUAUUGAUCCUAAAAGCACGCCCCAGUAAGAGUCCUGCAUGUAAAUCUCCACCUCAGACCCUGUUUCUCAGGUAAGCAUACUUAAAACCACUGGUGCUAGGAAUGGUCCGAGGAAGGAGACUCUAAAAUGGAAUGUGGAGCUGGGUCACCAGCUGACUGGCCACCAGGGAGGACACCCUCACUAGGGGUGGGUGGGUGGAUUACCUACAGCCCCUGGCAGGCUGUAACUUUGCAAUUGCUGCAACCUUCACUGUGGUGUACCGGCUGGAAGGCAAUGCAUUGGUAGGUCUAGUAUCUGAGGUGUCUAGGGGUUCAGGGGAAGUGAUUAUAAGUACAGUAGAACUGGAUGGCUGUUUCUGAGUGCUAUAAAAGGAAUUAGAGAAAGCGGAUGAAAGGAUACAAUGAUUAAUCACCAAUUUAAGGCUAAGUGUGAAAGCCAGAGGGCCUAUGGCAGUUUAUAAAGAGAUUCUCAUCUCCGGCAGCCAGAAGUAGAAAAAAGCCAGGAUCAAGCCUAGAACUUAAUUAUAAGGCCAGGAGGGCUCCAGAGAAGGUUAAAUUUUUCACCCCCAGCAAGUGUGCUAUAUCAAGGUCAGGACCCUGACUGGGAACGAGUGAGAUGCCGAGACUUGGAAUAAGGAUAUAUGUGUUUCUGCACCAAAAAUCUCAAAUCCUCAGAUUCCCCUGAACCCUCUGGGCUCACUGCUCCCUAUUAAAAGCUAGUGCUACCGUUGCUUGAAGACAGUGCAGGAGGUUUUUCUUGCAAGAUGCAAGAAACAUUUCUUGCAGCAUGUUCUUAACUCAGGGUUGAUCCUAACUCCAUUCCUGGACACUAGGCCAGUAAACAGAAUGGGGAUCAGCAACUGCAUUCUCCUGGCCAAAUCCAGCCUGCAGUCUAUUUUGGUAAAUAAAGUUUUGGUGGAAUACAACCAUAUCCAUUCAAUGACACAUUGCCUAUGGCUGCCUUCCUGCUACAAUGGGAGAAUUGAGUAGUCAUGACGAAGUCCAUAUGGCCCACAAAACCUAAAAUGUUUAUGAUCGGGUUCUUUACAGGUAAAGUUUGCUGACCCCUGAACUAGAGUCAAGUACAAUGAAACUUGACAGGAGAAGUGCUGAUUAUGAUAAGGAAGGAAAAAAUAGACACCAAAGCAGAUACAACACUGAGUCAGCAAGUACUAGCAGGAGUGGAAGAAUAUAUAUGGGAUGAAUCCUGAAGGGCCUCGGUUAAGAAGGAUGCAAUAUAUAGUUGGAUACUGGAAACUCUAUCUACAUGGGAGCACUCCCCUGAGAUAGAGAAUUUAGCACUCUGCUUGGUUGACUCUUGGGGUCUCUUUGUUGACUCUUUUCUUUCUUAGAAAUGCAGUGAUCAACUAUAUGGAGGAGAUAUGUGAGAAAUGCCUUAGCAGACGAUGAAGAAAGAGAUCAAAAGGCUCAGAGAAGCAGGAAUGCUAUGGUGGAUAUGCAGUCAGCUCUCUGUAUCUGUGGGUUCAACCAACCUCGGACUGAAAAUAUUCAGUAUUUGGGAAAAAAGUGGCAUCCCAUACUGAACACGUACAUACAUUUUUUUCCUCCUUGUCGUGAUUCCGUAGUCAAUACAGUAUAGUGACUAUUUACAUAGCAUUCACAUGGUAUUAGGUAUUAUAAGUAAUCUAGAGGUGAUUUAAAGUGUAGGGGAGGGUGUGUGUAGGUUAUAUGCAAAUCCUAGGCUAUUUUAUAUCACAGACUUGAGUAUCUACAGAUUUUGGUAUCCAAGGAAGGUUCUGGAACCAAUCCUAUAUGGAUGCUGAAGGACAGCUGUACACUGGUUCUCCCUAUCCAUGGUUUUGCUUUCCACAGUUUGUUUACCCACAGUCAACUGUGGGCUGAAAAUAUUAAAUAGAAGAUUCCAGAAAGAAACAAUUCAUAAGAUUUAAAUUGCACAUUGUUCUGAGUAGUGUGAUGGAGUCUUGCACUGUCCCCCGCAGGAUUUGAACUGUCCUUUUAUCCAGUGGAUACACACUGUCUACACUUCCUUCCAGUUAGCCACUUCACCAUCUCGGUGAUCAGAUUGACCAUCCAAGUAUCACAGUGCUCGUGUUCAAGGCACCCCCAUUUUACCUAAUGCCCCAAAGCACAAGAGGGGUGAUACUGGCAAUUCAAAUAUGCCAAAGGGAAGCCAUAAAGUGCUUCCUUUAAGUGAAAAGGUGAAAGUUCUUAAGGAAAAAAAAAAUUGUAUGCUGAGGUUGCAAAGAUCCAUGGUAAGAACAAAUUUUUUACCUGUAAAAUUGUGAAGAAGGACAAAUAAAUUUACGCUAGUUUUGUGGUUAUACUCAAACUGCAAAAGUGCCACAGUGCAUGUAUAGGAAAAAACAUCAUGUGUAUGGGGCUUGGUACUAUUCACAGUUUCCGGCAUCCACCUGUGGGGUGGCCUUGGAACGUAUUUCCAAGGGGCAAUGUGUCAAUGAGAAACUCAAUGGUGGCUAUCCCCUCUAGGGGAGGGCUGAUACUGUAGACUGUGCUGGGGUUCUAUAGAACUGGGAUCUCUAAAAGCAAUGGGGAUGGUAAGAUCCCAGAUUGGUAGAGGCCAGGUGGCAGACCAUAGGUAGCAGACCAAGAAGGAUGCAAUUAUUAUCAUAAAUGGAAAGGUUGGAGUGGCAGCCAGGAGUCCUUACCCAUAGAGAGCUAUGGAGAUGGUUACUAGACCACAGUGUUAUUAAGGGUAAGAUACAGGGGCACAUAAGAAUAAUGCUAACACUUCACUGAAGAGUCAUGGCCAAUUUCCAGAUCCGAGACUGUCCUUUGACCCAGAACCUGUUGACUAGAGAAGUUGGUUUGAGGAGGGAGCCUGCUAUACUAUGGUAAGUGCAUAUGAUAACAAUUCCCCCAGUCUUUACUUGAAGGGAUCUGUGUUACUUGGUUAACUGUUCAAUGGGAAAAAGGGCAAUCCUAGAUAUUUCCAGGACUCUUGGGCAUGGUCCAAACUCCACUGAUCUUCAGGAAGUUUUGUUUCAUCCAGGCCCCUUGCUGAAGUGGGAACUUAUGAAGAGUGAGAAAUAAGUCCAGACCCAGUCGAUUUCACAAGGGAUUCUUUGGCUCCGUGGAUCCACCUGGUCAUUUCUUCAGUCUCUGGAUGUAUAAUUGAAAUCCAUAGUAGUCAGCAGAAUCUUCUCAUUAGUUCCUCGGUUUGUAGGGCCAACCAGUAUGGUCUGUAGUGAAGAGGGCUACAUAGAAGCCUCUGAAACUUUCUUACCAUGGCCAAGAGAAGAAAUAAAAACAAUAUGACAUCCAGGGAAACGGCCAAGAAAUCUGGCACUCUAAACAUGCUCAACACUACAAGUGGUCCCCAUCAUGUCCCCAUUUAAUUAUCAUUCUGUCCCCCUUCAGAACCAGGGGUCCUAAUAAUUGACAGCGGAUCUCCAGGAAGUCAAGUGAUUACUUAAUAUAUCUGUUACCACUACCCAAUGUCCAAGCUUCCAGCAACAGAAACCAACACUGAGCUCUUCAACAAACACAGUCCCCAGAGGACUAACCAACCACUUGUUAGCAACUUGAUUAUAUCGGAUCCCUUUUAAUCUGGAAAUGUCAGUAAUUGAUUUUGACUGGUAUUGACACAUAUUCCAGAGAUGGCUUUACCUUUCCUACCAACAGGGACCCAGGCAGCAUGACCCCUGCAGGCUUGCAGAUUAUAAGAUAAACUGACUUGGAAUCCUGCAUUACGUGACUGUGGACCACUGGCCCCAUUUUAUAGCAAAGGAAGAACAACAAUGGACAUAUGAUGAUAGGAUCUACUGGUCUCAUCCCAUAACACCAUCCAGAAACUGCCUAUCUACUAGAGUUUUUUUAGUUUUUUAGUUUUUUAAGCACAGCUAAAGUGCUAGCCUGCAGAUGAUGUGUUGUAAGGACAGGGUAGCAUUGAGCCAAUGUCCAUUAUAUAGUGCUAUGUUUCCAGUAGGUGGGAUUGAUGGCCUCAGGAAACAAUGAUUGGGGCCUGGUGUGGCUCAUGCCUGUAAUCCCAGCACUUUGGGAGGCCAA